rnacentral:lncRNA from 13 species
UGUAUAUAGACAUAAUAUGACAUUUGAAAUGUCUUUAUUCUUUUGGAACCUCGGUGAGUGUAAUGUUUACUGUACAUUUUUAUUGUUUAUUUCACUUCUGUUUAUUAUCUACUUCACUUGCUUUGGCAAUGUUAACACAUGUUUCCCUUGACAAUAAAGCCCUUGAAUUGAAUUGAGAGAGAGAGAGAGAAAGAGAGAAAGAGAGAGAGAGAGAGAGAGAGAGAGAGAGAGAGAGAGAGAGAGAGAGAGAGAGAGAGAGGUGGGUGGGUUGAAUAAAGAGAAAACAAUACCUUAAGAAGUCAUUAUUUUAGGCUAUCUGGCAUUAGUGCAUAAGCCUAGUCUUUAGGCCCUAAAUGUAUGGUGCCACAUAUCCUACACACCAAUGGCAAAAUGUUUUUGGAAACGGGCAGAAAAAGCUAAUGUCAAUCCAAAAGGACAAUGUCAGAGUCUAAUUCAAUAAGACAAAAGCUGCUGAAGGAGAGUUGAAAAUAAAGAGAAGGGAGGGCCAGAAAAGUCAUGUUUGGGAACAGCCUGGUCUCAUAGACUAGAUGCAAGCAGCGAAAGAUUUGGUGAAAUGGUGAAAGAGGAUGAUAGCAGUUAUGUUAUGUGCAUUGAUUGUGAGGCACUAAACAUAUUCAACAGCCACAAGACAGGGACUUCAAAUAGGUCUAUGACAAGUCAAGGGAACUGUAGCCUACUGUUCAGAUGGGUUAAAUAGAAGCUGAAAUCCGGACACUGACUGUAGGUCUAGAACCUCUCACAUAACCUUAAUAUUCACUCCUGCAGAGUUUCUUGCAGUACAAUUACACACAAAAUGUAGGCAAAAUCUGACUAAGGAACAGAGGUGGAGAAAUAGACUAUGAUUUUUUUUUCAGCAUCUUCAGAGAAUGCAAAUGCUCCGUUAGAUACCAUCUGUAUAUAGGUGUUUAUCAGCCUCAUAUACGCUGAUAGUUUUUCAACCAUAUAAAAUAUGCAUCCAAGCCAAACUAAAAUCUUUUCAGAAACAUACUGUGUUGGGUCAUUUUCACAGCUUUCUAUUUCCUUACAACCGGUCAAACUGAUGUCAUUUCGACAUUUUGUACAGAAAAUAUUUCCCGUGUUGUUUUAGUUAUUGCACAUUGUUCCAGGAUCCCUAAACGUCUUUGCUCCACUAAAGAGGAUGACAGAGAAAACUUUACCAAUGUCAACUGGAUUGAAGCAUUCAUUCUAUCAAUUUAUGACAUUAUUCUGUUGAACGAGGGUUUAUUUAGUCUUCUAGGGCAACACAUAAUGACAGAAGAGAAGCUUCAUGUAUCUAAUAUAGACAAGUUGACUAUGAAAUACCCUACAGAAAUGUCGGAAAUUAUAAGCAGGAACAUAUAUAAAUCCCCAAAACAAAAUCCUGCACCCUCUGACAAAAAAAACAUUGCGCCGUCUUUGGCUGUAAGCUAUAGCACAUUGUCUAUAUUUGCUGGUUAGGGUCGGGUGAGACACUCAGAUAUACCAUUACUUUCAGCCAAUCUGUCAUGUAUUGUCAUGUUGUGUCUUUCUGUCCUUUCCUUUCACCCUGUCUCCCUCUGCUGGUCGUACUAGGUUACCGUUUCUGUCCCUCUUUCCCCCAGCUGUUCCUUGUCUUCUCUGACUACCUCAUUCACCCCUUUUCCCACCUGUUCCCUUUUUCCCUCUGAUUAGGUCCCUAUAUCUCUCUCUGUUUCUGCUCCUGUCUUUGUCGGAUUCUUGUUUGUGUGUCUCAUGCCUGAACCAGACUAUCAUCGUGUUUGCUGCAACCUUGUCCUGUCCUGUCGGAAUCUACCUGUCCAUCUGAGCCCACGUGUGUUCAUCAUUAAAGAAACUCUGUUUGUUAAUUCGCUUUUGGGUCCUCAUUCACGCACCUGACAGAAGAAUCCGACCAAGAAUGGACCCAGCGACUUCGGAUCCUCUCCACUCAGCCGUCGAGAUCCAGGGAGCGAU